UACGGAGGAUGCAAGCGUUAUCCGGAAUGAUUGGGCGUAAAGCGUCCGCAGGUGGCAAUGUAAGUCUGCUGGUAAAGAGUCUAGCUCAACUAGAUAAAAGCAGUGGAAACUACAUAGCUAGAGUACGUUCGGGGCAGAGGGAAUUCCUGGUGUAGCGGUGAAAUGCGUAGAGAUCAGGAAGAACACCGGUGGCGAAGGCGCUCUGCUAGGCCGUAACUGACACUGAGGGACGAAAGCUAGGGGAGCGAAUGGG
rnacentral:rRNA from 1 species